GGGAUUGCCUUCGUAGCGGCGAGUGAAGCGGCAAUAGCUCAAAUUUGAAAUCUGGCGUCUUCGGCGUCCGAGUUGUAAUUUGAAGAAGGUAUCUUUGGAAUUGGCUCUUGUCUAUGUUCCUUGGAACAGGACGUCACAGAGGGUGAGAAUCCCGUGCGAUGAGAUGCCCAAUUCCGUGUAAAGUUCCUUCGACGAGUCGAGUUGUUUGGGAAUGCAGCUCUAAGUGGGUGGUAAAUUCCAUCUAAAGCUAAAUAUUGGCGAGAGACCGAUAGCGAACAAGUACUGUGAAGGAAAGAUGAAAAGAACUUUGAAAAGAGAGUGAAAAAGUACGUGAAAUUGUUGAAAGGGAAGGGCUUGAGGUCAGACUUGGUUUACCAGGCCAGCAUCAGUUUGGACGGCAGGAUAAUAGCUAAGGAAUGUGGCACCACCUCGGUGGUGUGUUAUAGUCUUGGUUGAUACUGCCUGUCUAGACUGAGGACUGCGUCUUGACUAGGAUGCUGCAUAAUGACCUUAAGCCGCCCGUCUUGA
rnacentral:rRNA from 1 species